UAAUUUAGAUCUCACAGCUUGACAGGAAAGACAUGCUUUUUCUACUCUUUAUCCUUUUGAUGCUUUCUGUCUUUCUUGUCUCCUUGUCUUUCUUUAGCUCUUUUUUUCUUUUCUUUUCUUUUCUCUUCUUUUCUCUUCUUUUCUCUUUCUCUUUUUCAUUUCUUUUUUUUUUUUUUUCUUUUUCCUUUCUUUUCUCUGAUUUUCUCUGCUGGGUACCUGAUUCUCUUCAUCACCAAUCCCUUCUCAGAGAUAUAAUGAUUUCAAAAUGAUAAUACACUGUAGUGGGAUUAUCAAUGUGGCCCGCCCAAGGUGAACUCCAAAUUAGGCUUCUUGGGGCUCGUCCCUGAAAGGGUUGAUGAGCUUACAUCUGAUAUUCUUUCAUAAAUUGAGCAAUUUGGAUCCGCGUCCUUGUGCUUAAGCGAUGGUAAGUUUCCACAAGAAUCCUUUGAUUUCACAUGCAACCAAUCUUCCCUUGACG
rnacentral:misc_RNA from 1 species